rnacentral:rRNA from 1 species
UACAGAGGUCCCAAGCGUUGUUCGGAUUCAUUGGGCGUAAAGGGUGCGUAGGCGGCCUGUUAAGUCGAACGUGAAAUCCCCGGGCUCAACCCGGGAACUGCGUCCGAUACUGGCAGGCUUGAAUUCGGGAGAGGGAUGCGGAAUUCCAGGUGUAGCGGUGAAAUGCGUAGAUAUCUGGAGGAACACCGGUGGCGAAGGCGGCAUCCUGGACCGAGAUUGACGCUGAGGCGCGAAAGCCAGGGGAGCAAACGGG